UACGGAGGGUGCGAGCGUUGUCCGGAAUUACUGGGCGUAAAGAGCUCGUAGGUGGUUUGUCGCGUUGUUCGUGAAAACUCACAGCUCAACUGUGGGCGUGCGGGCGAUACGGGCAGACUGGAGUACUGCAGGGGAGACUGGAAUUCCUGGUGUAGCGGUGGAAUGCGCAGAUAUCAGGAAGAACACCAACGGCGAAGGCAGCUCGCUGGGACGGUACUGACGCUGAGACGCGAAAGCGUGGGGAGCGAACAGG
rnacentral:rRNA from 1 species